rnacentral:ncRNA from 1 species
GAUGUGGUGGGCGCAAUCACGACGGUAUGUCGGAUUUUAAAUUUCUGGAAGGAUUGACAGAUUGAGAGCUCUUUCUUGAUUCGCUGGAUGGAGGUGCAUGUCCAUUCUUAGUUGGUGGAGCGAUUUGUCUGUUUAACUCCGAUGACGAACGAGACUCUAGACUAUUAAAUAGGCGCGUGGUCCUCUGCACCUUGCACCCUUCUUAGGGGUACAGGGGGGAUCUGUAACCCCAACAGGGAUACGUUCCUUAGUGCGGAUAAUGAUAAUGAAGUUCCUUAUGACAUGAUUAUGUUGUUAGCUUUGUGUAGCAUUUGGAGAUCACGUAUGGCUGUUCGACAUGCUGACCUCGACGCAAAAGAAGUGCGGAUAUAUUUCUUCAACCUUGUAAAACAAGUACAGAGUGUGAAUUUGAACUGUGAGCCUGAACCGGAGUGGACUAGUAUUUUAAAAUCACUCCUCGAAAUGCGUGAUUUUUAAUACGCUGUGCAAAAGAGCUGUACAGCGCUGUUAGAAUGACAUGAAUGUUGCUGUAACCACCAUGCAAUAAAGGAAACAAAAGGGAUCGGUGGCCGAGUGGGCUAAAGCGCACACCCAUGCAGCUCGACGCGCGUGGAGCGAAAGCUCGCGUUGCAGAACCCUGGGAUCCUGGGUUCGAGCCCCACCCCUGCCCGUUUUUUAAUCUGGAUGAGCAUCGUACCGGCGUGCGGUCGUGUAUCACUACUGCGUGGUGCACGUUAAAGACCUCAGACUAGCGGUUGUACUGCACUGGCUAAAUUACUCAUCUACAGCGUGUGACUCGUCGCAACUUUAAUGGCUGACCAACUACACGCUGUAUAAAUAUCCCCAUAACCCAAUUUGCUUUUUGCUUAGAAGGACAAGCGGCUCCUAGCCGCACGAAACAGAGCCAUAACAGGUCUGUGGUGCCCUUAGAUGUCCGGGGCCGCACGCGGGCUACACUGAAAGAAGCAGCGUGUUUUUAUCC